AAUCGUCUCAUUUGUUGAUUGUUGCUUCCGUUCUGAAGAAGUGCGCUAGCAAACCUCUCAUUAAUUUGUGUUGAAUUGUUAAUUUUCAAAACAAAAAUCGAAAAAUUUCAAUAAAUGCGAAAAAUCGAAUGAAAAUAUCUAAUUUUAAAUACAAAAACAAUUGAAUUAAAAUGAAGUUGGUAAAGUUUUUUGUAAUCGGAACGCUGGUGUUGUUAUAUGUGCAGUUGUCACUUCAAGCUGCUACUGGACAACGAGACCCAAACAUACAAGAAUUACAUGGUACUGAUGGCCACUAGCAAAUGGAUGAAAAUCCCACAGAUACGAUUAUAAACCGAAAGAAAAGACAACAACAAAUGAGCACCUAUGAAAUAUUUAAUGAUUGCAUAAUUAAUGUAUGGAAAACUGGCGUUGAGUCCAACGAUUACUUAUUCUGCAAAUUCGCGUCCGGCAUCGUAUUUCCAGAUGUGGCCGAAUUAGAGCCGUUGGGCUCGGUUGCAUCACAAACCGAAAAAAUCAUUAGGUUCGAGAAGGAUGAUACUGAUAUUGAAUCUGUCACAACGUUUUCGGAUUAUCUUCUUAGUAAGGAAAAGAAAGCGAAAGAACAAUUGAAAACCCGAAAAAAUCCAAAUGAAGACGAUGAUUCACGAUGCAAAUAGGUCUAGAGACGUUUUUUAUUUUUCAAAUAAAUAAACUUUUGAAUAAAACAAAAUAAGUGAUAAUAUUGUAACAUUGAAUAGAAUAGCGAAAUUCCGUUUGCAUUGAGAAAUGAUUAUUUGAUUGACAUGAAGCUAUCAACUGUUCAUUGAAUAAACUGUGGCGCAAAAUCAAAACAAAGGUUAAUCUUUCAUUGAUAAAGUGUCGAGCUGAAUUGUGUUCACCAGCUUCUUAUCACUGCUUUCCAUUCGCCAUUCCGAGAAACAACGACUUGUACUCACAAUACUUUCAACUUGUGCGGAGUGAAGUGUAAACGUGAACUAAUUUCUACGACGGAGAAAAUAUUUUUAUUCUAUAAAAGUUGAAUAUUUGUUCAAAAUAAGAAGAAUAAAUUGAAGAGAAAAGAAAAUGACAUCGAUGAACAUUAUCGUGGUCGGAUUAUUCGUACAGUUAUUCCUGCAGCCCGUGCUUUUACUCACAAUCCCAAAAGCAUUGGAUGAAAAUAAAAUUCCCACCGUGGAGGAUGAGUGGAGGGAGUGGAGGGAGUGGAGGGAGUCGAAUACAUUGAUAAACAAGGAAGUCUUAGAGCAAAAACUAAUAACGGAUUUACGUGAAGAAAUUUUCCAGCGCUGCAUGGAUGACAAAGGUGGAUAUAACACAUAUGAAAAUUACGUCAAGUGCAAACCCUAUGAGAAAAGGGAAACGCAGAAGAUGUUGGAAUCAAAAGCGAUUGGAUCCACAACUCCGAGUAGCGAUGAAAUAAUCAAAGUUGAAAGCGCUGAAGCACAUGCAAGUGAAUAUGAGGAGGAAGAAAACGACCCAGAUUUUCCGGUUGAAUUUGUUGAUGAGGAGAAGCAUUUGAAUAGACGAGUUGGAUUCUGGACGAAAUUGUGGCAUCGAAUCAUCGAUGGGCCGGAAUUGGAUCCAUACCCGCUCUUUUAAAAAGAAUUUUUUUUCACGUAGAUUUGAAACCGAUAAGAUGUUUUUCUGUUUCCGCGAAUUUCUUUUUAAUCAUUCCCAAAUAAACCAAAAUAUAUUCAUUAUUCAGCAAA